GACGAACGCUGGCGGCGUGCCUAAUACAUGCAAGUUGAGCGCUGAAGGUUGGUACUUGUACCAACUGGAUGAGCAGCGAACGGGUGAGUAACGCGUGGGGAAUCCGCCUUUGAGCGGGGGACAACAUUUGGAAACGAAUGCUAAUACCGCAUAAAAACUUUAAACACAAGUUUUAAGUUUGAAAGAUGCAUUUGCAUCACUCAAAGAUGAUUCCGCGUUGUAUUAGCUAGUUGGUGAGGUAAAGGCUCACCAAGGCGAUGAUACAUAGCCGACCUGAGAGGGUGAUCGGCCACACUGGGACUGAGACACGGCCCAAACUCCUACGGGAGGCAGCAGUAGGGAAUCUUCGGCAAUGGACGGAAGUCUGACCGAGCAACGCCGCGUGAGUGAAGAAGGGUUUCGGAUCGUAAAACUCUGUUGGUAGAGAAGAACGUUGGUGAGAGUGGAAAGCUCAUCAAGUGACGGUAACUACCCAGAAAGGGACGGCUAACUACGUG
rnacentral:rRNA from 1 species